rnacentral:lncRNA from 1 species
CGGCGGCUGCAGGCUGAAGUAGGUAGCGGGAGGCUCCAACUCCCGCGGGCCCCAUUCCCACUAGGCCAUCUGCGUGACUGAGCCGAGCCCGCUCCCGGCCCCCGCGAGGUCCCGGUCCCCCGGCUCCGCCGCGCCCGCAAGCUCCGCCCUCGUAUUCGUGGGGCGCGCGGAGGGAGGGGGACACUAGACUGCUGAGGGACCGAGCCGAGCCUGGAGGGUCUGGGCAGAAUCCGGAAGGGACCGGUUUGCGGCGGAGAGGCGGGGCCCAGGCGACCGCCCACGCUGAGAGUUCCUGGAAGUCGCCGGUGGCAGCGCGCAGGGGCGGGGCGCCGAGGAGAGCGCGAGACCCGGCGAGGGCACGCCCCGCCCCUGGCGUGAGGGACACGGUCGCCCCGCCCCGCACGCCGGCCACUUACCCCACCCUCGCGUCCCGUCGCCGCUCAGAUGUCCACGCCGAGAUCAAGUUCCCACCCGGCCGAGGCCCGCUUUGUCCCCGCCUAGGGGAGGUGGAACAGGGUCCCGGAACUCGGUAAACCGGUCUGGGUACUUCUGUGCUGGUCUCCACCUGCGGCCUGGCCCUUUCCCAGUCCCGAAAAGACUGGCCCUUGCUUUUUAAAAUGAUUCUUCUUUCAGUGCUGUGGGUGGACAUCGAACCCCGGGCCAGCUAAGCCCGCGCUCCGGCCACUGAGGACUUCGGUUUCCCCAUCUAUAUAUUUAUAUUUUUAAAAUUGCACAUUAGAAAGGUUGCAAAUGUAUCAUUCAUUCACAAGGUCGCUUAAGCACCUGCUAGACUCAAUCCCUGCCAUCCUGGAGACCUCAGGCUAGGAAACAAACCAAGAAACCAACAGAAAAGUGUAGUCAUUAUUACACACACACACACACACACACACACGGCCACGUGGUGCGGUGGCGCCAUGCCUGUAAUCCCAGCUGUUCAGGAGUCUGGAACAUAAAUUCGAGGCCAG